GUCGGGAGGAAUCCGGAGAGCAGAAAUUCACGGGAAACCGCGGCCGAGUCACCCCACCCAGCCAGCCCGGCGUGCGUGCGCCCAACCCCCGCCCCCACCCGGAGAGCCGCGGGGUGCGCGGUACCUAGGCAGGGAGGUGUCCCCAGUGGGCUCGAAGUUUCCUCUUCCCUUCCCCCGCCGACCCCCGGCUCUGUCCCGGAGGGGGCGGCUCCGGGUGGGGGCCGUGGCCACGCGCCUUGGAUCUUGGCCACCGCAACUUUCUGCAGCGCGGCGCGCCGGCUCCUUUGUUUAAGUUCGCAGAUGCCAUCUCCGGAGCCCGGCGGUCCGCACAGCGCGUGCGGUCGGAUCCUUGCCGCACCCCGCCCUCGCCCGCCCGCGCCGCCCUCCGGGGGACCGGGGCGCGCGUGCCCUUGUGAGUUUGGAGGUGCCGGCUGGCGGAGCCACGCGCUGGGUUUGCAAGGCAGUCGGUCCGAUCUCCCCCAUAGACGCCUCUGUCUUUCAAAAUCUUAAUCAAAGAACAUCAUUGUGAUCACAUUAUUCAGCAUUUGAUGGAUAAAGAUGAGGACUCAGAGAAGGAUUGCUGCCAUACAAGGACAGAAGCCCCUUGCCUUCCCUGCCAGGGGUAGCAGAGGAGGAAGAACAAAGGGCCUGGAUUUGUGGGUUCACUGAGGGUCCUGAAGAUGCUGCUUCUGACUGGAAGAGCCAAAGAGACAAGACUUUUCACUCAGUGAUACUUUUGAUGCAGUCUAAGGAUGGGCAAACAAACUAACUUGUUGCCUGUUUUUAUAAAUAAAGUUUUAUUGGCACACA